rnacentral:rRNA from 1 species
UACGUAGGCAGCAAGCGUUGUUCGGAGUUACUGGGCGUAAAGAGUGCGUAGGUGGUGCCCUAAGUCUGUUGUGAAAUCUCCCGGCUUAACUGGGAGGGUGCGGUGGAAACUGGGGUGCUUGAGUGUGGGAGAGGUAAGCGGAAUUCCUGGUGUAGCGGUGAAAUGCGUAGAUAUCGGGAAGAACACCCGUGGCGAAGGCGGUUCUCUGGGACGGUACUGACGCUGAGACGCGAAAGCGUGGGGAGCGAACAGG